rnacentral:rRNA from 1 species
UACGGGGGGGGCAAGCGUUGUUCGGAAUUACUGGGCGUAAAGGGCUCGUAGGCGGCCAACUAAGUCGGAUGUGAAAUCCCCAGGCUUAACCUGGGAACUGCAUCCGAUACUGGAUGGCUUGAAUCCGGGAGAGGGAUGUGGAAUUCCAGGUGUAGCGGUGAAAUGCGUAGAUAUCUGGAGGAACACCGGUGGCGAAGGCGGCAUCCUGGACCGGCAUUGACGCUGAGGAGCGAAAGCCAGGGGAGCAAACGGG